rnacentral:rRNA from 1 species
UACGUAGGGGCUAGCGUUGUCCGGAUUUAUUGGGCGUAAAGAGCGUGUAGGCGGCCAGGUAGGUCUGCUGUGAAAACUCGAGGCUCAACCUCGAGACGUCGGCGGAAACCAUCUGGCUAGAGUCCGGAAGAGGAGAGUGGAAUUCCUGGUGUAGCGGUGAAAUGCGCAGAUAUCAGGAAGAACACCCGUGGCGAAGGCGGCUCUCUGGGACGGUACUGACGCUGAAGACGCGAAAGCGUGGGGGAGCGAACAGG